rnacentral:rRNA from 1 species
UACGUAGGCAGCGAGCGUUGUUCGGAAUUACUGGGCGUAAAGAGUGUGUAGGCGGUGCUCUAAGUUCGGUGUGAAAUCUCCUGGCUCAACUGGGAGGGUGCGCCGGAAACUGGAGUGCUUGAGCGUGGGAGAGGAAAGCGGAAUUCCUGGGUGUAGCGGUGAAAUGCGUAGAUAUCAGGAGGGAACACCGGUGGCGAAGGCGGGUCUCUGGGCCGAUACUGAC